rnacentral:tRNA from 1 species
GGACAUGGACCAGAGCGGUUGACUUCUGAUCAAAAGAUUGCAGGUUCCAUUCCUGCCUUGCCCA